rnacentral:rRNA from 1 species
GUGAAUGCUUUGGGGUGGGGUGACUGCGUACCUUUUGUAUAAUGGGUCAGCGACUUAUAUUCUGUAGCAAGGUUAACCGAAUAGGGGAGCCGGAGGGAAACCGAGUCUUAAUUGGGCGUUAAGUUGCAGGGUAUAGACCCGAAACCCGGUGAUCUAGCCAUGGGCAGGUUGAAGGUUGGGUAACACUAACUGGAGGACCGAACCGACUAAUGUUGAAAAAUUAGCGGAUGACCUGUGGCUGGGGGUGAAAGGCCAAUCAAACCGGGAGAUAGCUGGUUCUCCCCGAAAGCUAUUUAGGUAGCGCCUCGUGAAUUCAUCUCCGGGGGUAGAGCACUGUUUCGGCUAGGGGGCCAUCCCGGCUUACCAACCCGAUGCAAACUGCGAAUACCGGAGAAUGUUAUCACGGGAGACACACGGCGGGUGCUAACGUCCGUCGUGAAGAGGGAAACAACCCAGACCGCCAGCUAAGGUCCCAAAGUCAUGGUUAAGUGGGAAACGAUGUGGGAAGGCCCAGACAGCCAGGAUGUUGGCUUAGAAGCAGCCAUCAUUUAAAGAAAGCGUAAUAGCUCACUGGUCGAGUCGGCCUGCGCGGAAGAUGUAACGGGGCUAAACCAUGCACCGAAGCUGCGGCAGCGAACGUAUCACCCAAGACAACUUUACGGAGUUGACGAUUGACGGAGCGAAGCGACGUCAAAGCGUUCAUUAAAGUCGAGUUGGCUUAGGGAUACGUUCGUUGGG